ACUAUCAAGGACAGCAUUAUGCCACAGGCCAUAAAAUGUCAGCUCUUGGGACAAAUACAGUCCUAACACUUGCCUUGUUUGACUAGCACACUACUUUAUGGAUUCCCUGCUAGUGGCUAAUGUUGAGCAUUAGGACAAAUACCUAAUGCAUGCGGGGCUUAAAAACCUAAAUGACGGGUUGAUAGGUACAGUAAACCACCAUGGCACAUGUUUACCUAUGUAACAAAUCUGCACACUCUGCACAUGUAUCCCGGAACUUAAACUAAAAUUAAAAGAAAAUGGAUGGAUUUCAUCCAAUACCUUGAUUUCCUGCUUUUCUUGACGUAGCAGAUGCUGUAGAAGGACAGAACCAGCAUUCCCACAAGGGCAUAAUUAGGUCUGAUGAAGUGGUGGUUGCCUCUUUUGAGUUAAAUAUGCUCAUUCCAGUUUGCCUGGCUCUCUGCAUCCCCAGGUUCAGCGAGUGCAGCUAGAGCUGGAGCCGGAAGCCGGGCAGCACCAUAUGCUGGGCUUUCACCAGAUAAUCAACUCCCAAUCCCUUCUGGGGCACCGUUUGAUG
rnacentral:lncRNA from 10 species